rnacentral:rRNA from 1 species
AUUGAACGCUGGCGGCAGGCCUAACACAUGCAAGUCGAGCGAAUGAGAAGAGCUUGCUCUUCGAUUCAGCGGCGGACGGGUGAGUAAUGCCUAGGAAUCUGCCUGGUAGUGGGGGACAACGUUUCGAAAGGAACGCUAAUACCGCAUACGUCCUACGGGAGAAAGCAGGGGACCUUCGGGCCUUGCGCUAUCAGAUGAGCCUAGGUCGGAUUAGCUAGUUGGUGAGGUAAUGGCUCACCAAGGCGACGAUCCGUAACUGGUCUGAGAGGAUGAUCAGUCACACUGGAACUGAGACACGGUCCAGACUCCUACGGGAGGCAGCAGUGGGGAAUAUUGGACAAUGGGCGAAAGCCUGAUCCAGCCAUGCCGCGUGUGUGAAGAAGGUCUUCGGAUUGUAAAGCACUUUAAGUUGGGAGGAAGGGCAGUAAGUUAAUACCUUGCUGUUUUGACGUUACCGACAGAAUAAGCACCGGCUAACUUCGUGCCAGCAGCAGCCGCUGUAA